rnacentral:rRNA from 1 species
CCUACGGGCGGCAGCAGUGGGGAAUAUUGCACAAUGGGGGAAACCCUGAUGCAGCGACGCCGCGUGCGGGAAGAAGUAUUUCGUUAUGGAAAGCUCCUUCAGUAGGGAAGAAAAUGACGGUACCUGAGUAAGAAGCACCGGCUAACUACAUGCCAGCAGCCGCGGUAAUACGUAGGGUGCAAGCGUUAUCCGGAUUUCACGGGUGUAAAGGGGGCGUAGACGGCAGUGCAAGUCUGGAGUGAAAGGCGGGGGCUCAACCCCCGGACUGCGCGGGAAACUGUACGGCUGGAGUGUAGGAGAGGUAAGUGGAAUUCCUGGUGUAGCGGUGAAAUGCGUAGAUAUCAGGAGGAACACCAGUGGCGAAGGCGGCUUACUGGACUGUAACUGACGUUGAGGCUCGAAAGCGUGGGUAUCAAACAGGAUUAGAUACCCGUGUAGUC